rnacentral:rRNA from 1 species
UACGGGGGGGGCAAGCGUUGUUCGGAAUUACUGGGCGUAAAGGGCUCGUAGGCGGCCAACUAAGUCGGAUGUGAAAUCCCCAGGCUUAACCUGGGAACUGCAUCCGAUACUGGUUGGCUUGAAUCCGGGAGAGGGAUGCAGAAUUCCAGGUGUAGCGGUGAAAUGCGUGAGAGAUCCGGAGGAAGACCGGUGGCGAAGGCGGCCUGCUGGGCAGUUACUGACACUGAGGCGCGGACAGCGUGGGGAGCAAACAGG